GCCCAGAGUGACCUAGAACUCUUCAUUCUCCUGCCUCAGCCUCCUGAGUGCUGGGAUCACAGGCUUAUGCCACACAUCUGGAUUCUUCUUCUUUCUUACACAGCCUCCCUUAGCCUAGAGCUUCUUAUGUUGGCCUUGACCUACUGAUUCUCGUGCCUCAACUUCCCCGGUGCUGAGAUUCCAGGUGCAUGCCACCAUGUCCCGAAAACUGACACUGCCAAUUAUACUUUACUAAUGCAAUAAUGUUAAGCUUUAAGAUAUGUAGAAUGCGGGGCUGGGGAUUUAGCUCAGUGGUAGAGCGCUUACCUAGGAAGCGCAAGGCCCUGGGUUCGGUCCCCAGCUCCGAAAAAAAAAGAACCAAAAAAAAAAAAAGAUAUGUAGAAUGCAAAUUGUCAAAAUUAUUUUAAUAUUUAUUUAGGUAUGUAUAUGAGUAUACUACACUGUAGCUGUCUUCAGACCCAUCAGAAGAGGGCAUUGGAUCCCAUUACAGAUGGUUGUGAGCCACGGUGUGAUGGCUGGGAAUUGAACUCAAGGCCUCUGGAAGAGCAGUCAGUGCUCUUAACCACUGAGCCAUCUCUCCAGGCCAUUGUUGUUGUUGUUAUUGUUGUUGUUGUUGUUGUUAUUAUUAUUGACUGGAGUGCAGUUCUGGAAAGGUAGCUGUUCAGUUGGUAGAGUUUAAAGGCCUGAGUUAGAAUCUGGCCCCUGGUUAAUAAAGGCUGGGCAUGGUGUCCAAAAAGAAAUGAAUAAACAAAAGCAGGUAGAAGAGUGAUGUUAUAACCCUCGAUCAAAAUAAGCCUGGACAGGUGGCUCAGCGGUUAAGAGCCCUGACUACUCUGUUCUUCCAGAGGUCCUGAGUUCAAUUCCCAGCAACCACAUGGUGGUUCACAACCAUCUGUAAUGGGAUCUGAUGCCCUCUUCUGGUGUGUCUGAAGACAGGGAUGGGGUAUUCAUAUACAUAAAUAAAUAAAUCUUAAAGUAAGCAUCCAGUUAUAAGUAACUGGGUAAAUGAUUAAGUAGGGGGCCGGUAGAUACCUUUCCCACCAGCAGAAUCCCAAAUAAUUUCCUUAGGCUCUCCAAAGUGGCAUCCUGCUAGUUACCCGUGUGCUAAGCACAGUGGUCCCUGAAGGCACCAAACGGGCAUUUUUUCAGUGGGUAAAUGUGACACAGCUCAGCAGGCAGUCAGGGUACUAUCAGCCAUGUCAACCAUACCCAGUAUGGAGUCUUUGAUGAUGGGAUGGGACGGAAUGGGAAAUGAGCUAUCUUGACCAAGUACCUACUACGCAUGCCCUCCCAAGCGCCACCACCACGCACCUGACCGGAAGCGCUCAUUUGCGAGCCUGUAGAGAAGGCUCAUCAGUUCAGAGCCCUGGUUACUUCUGCUGAGGACUCCGGCUCAGUUUCAUGGCACCCACAUCACUGUGCUUUACCAUCUGUAAUUGCAAUUUCAGGGAAUCCGACACCCUCCUCCGGCCUCUGAGGCCAGCGUGGUGCACGCAGUUCACAUAAAUACAAUCAGGCAAAGAUGCGUGCACAUGGAAGAAGUGAAAAGGAACAAGCUUAUUUAACAUAAUAAAGUCACGGAGGAGGCAGUUCUUCCCGCUGUAGCUGGCUAAGCUUCAACUCCUGAGAGCGGUGCCGGUGCACAUCUUAAUCCCAGCAUUCGGAGGCAGGGGGAUCUCUUCAAAUCCGAGGCCAGCCUGGUUUAUAGAGCGAGUUUCAGAACCGCCAGGGCUAUGCAGAGAAACCCUGUCUGGAAAAACCAAACCAAACAAAAACAAACGAAAGUCUAUCUACGUAUGAGCGUCUCCUCCAUGCGCACGGGACAGAAGAGAGCUAGCAACCUUGUUGAGCACCCAGGUGCAUGCUGGGAAUGAAAUCCCAGGCCUCUGGAAGAGUAGGGCAGCCAGCGUUCUUAACUGGCGAGCCCUCCCUCUAACGCCUUAGUUUAUUUAGCAUGAGGGUUCAAGGGCUGGAAUUCAGCCAGCACCUUCAACUGAUGGUCCGUGUCACCUGCCCAAAAUGUCCUCUUAAAGAACUAAACAGGGGCUGAAGUGCUGUCUCAGUGGUGAAGAGCGUGUGGUGUUCCCACAGAGGACCCAGUUCAACUCGCAGCCCUCACACCAGGCAGCUCCAGGGGACGCCUCUAACCUCAGGCACAUGCACAUAUACAGACAUCCGUGUACACCUGUGACCUCCUCCUCAUCUCCUACCCACUCCACACCCCCAGUUGGAGCUCAGUCUCCAGAAAGCAGAAAUUUGAUGACAUCAUCGCCCUGUCUCAAGCUCGGGAAGGUUCUGGACAUCCCGAGAGGAAGAGUCACCACCACCAUGCUGCCCAUCAUGGUGUGGUCCCCGAUGACCUGUUUGGAGAUUUCAGGAACCUGUCUCCUCCCCGUCAUCUCUGCUCCUUGGCGCUUGUCCCUGCGUCCUCUUUUUCUGGCUGGUACUUCCUCACCCCUGAGGAGUCACCUAAAGAGCGCCGCCCACUCUUCUUCAGCAGGCUGACCUUGCCAUCUCUAUAGAAUGAAACAUUUUGCUGAGACACUAUCUGACCCUUGAGUAGAUCUUCAGCCUCUGAAAGGCAGAAAGCACGCUUAUUGAAUGUUGGUCACCUUGGCGAAUGGGGCUGUUAGCCCUGGCCUAACACUCUGGCUCUGCUUUAUUCAGAGGACCUGGGGAGAGCUGUGUGGGACAGUCAGGUGUACAUGGCCUCUAGGUUCCUAUGGGAACCCGCAGCCUUCUGUUGCAGCCCCUGGCCCUGGCCACAAACAGUCCCGGCCCUUCUCUCACCUCGCGCACGCGGCGCUCCACGUCCAGCAGCGCCCUCUCGUGGUGGCUACAGUCGUGCACCGUGCACGCGCUGCACACGCAGAGGCCCUCCGUGAGACAGAAGAACUCGAGCGGCCUCCCGUGGCGCGGGCAGCGAGCGCUUUGGCUCGUGCCGGACUCCAGACGCUGGAUGGCGGCCGGCAGCCCCUGCAACAAGGUGCUCAGCUUCACGUUGCGGCUCAGCUUGGCGCCCUCGGGGAAAGGCUGGCGACAUUCGGGGCAUAUCUUUUCGCAACAGCGCCACGAAUCCUGGAUACAGUUCCCGCAGAAGGUGUGCCCGCAGGGCAGCGUCACGGGGUCGCAGUAGCGACCCAGGCAGAUGGGACAAGUCACCAGGUCCUCCUCCAGCAGCUGAACGGCCAUAGCGGAAGCGAGGUCCUGUGUGCGCAGACCUCUUAAAGGGACCGAGGCUACGGAAGGGCGAAGGACAGUCCAGGAAGAUGGCAGUGCGCAAGGGCAACGAGAGCGUUGCGCUCUGGUGCCCCGGAACGUUCCUUGGCAGGGAUCCAAGUCGCCCUUGUCCGGCUUCUGACGCACUGGGAGCUGGGGCGCGGCUCCCUCCGGUCGACCCGGACAGCUCCACAUUCCUUCUCUAGACCCUCAUAUCAACUCCUCCUGAAGAUCUGGCCUUAGAGGUCUGGAACCCCACUAGGCCCAGGGCAGUUAGUUGUGGUCUCUGUCAUGUUUUCCCGGACAGUGAAAAUGGGAGCGAGGGUCGUCCCGCAUGGAGCCUGGUAGUGUUUGGUCAGGGCCGUGUGUUUUGUUUUUUCUGGAACAGGACUUUAGGUAUUGGGAUUAUAUCUCCCCUCUCUGGGAAAUGUGUAAAUUUGGUUCUUUUAAAAUAACGACUUGGAAAUUUCUGGUUACUAAAACACAUUUAACCUUUUUAA